GCAAGUCGAGCGGUAACAGAGAGGUGCUUGCACCUUUGCUGACGAGCGGCGGACGGGUGAGUAAUGCCUGGGAAUAUGCCUUAGUGUGGGGGAUAACUAUUGGAAACGACUGCUAAUACCGCAUAAUGUCUACGGACCAAAGGGGGCUUCGGCUCUCGCCUUUAGAUUGGCCCAAGUGGGAUUAGCUAGUUGGUGAGGUAAUGGCUCACCAAGGCAACGAUCCCUAGCUGGUUUGAGAGGAUGAUC
rnacentral:rRNA from 1 species